UACGGGGGGAGCAAGCGUUGUUCGGAUUUACUGGGCGUAAAGGGCGGGUAGGCGGCCACUGCAAGUCGGUUGUGAAAUCUCCGGGCUUAACCCGGAAAGGUCAAUCGAUACUGCAGGGCUAGAGUGCAGAAGGGGCAACUGGAAUUCUCGGUGUAGCGGUGAAAUGCGUAGAUAUCGAGAGGAACACCUGCGGCGAAGGCGGGUUGCUGGGCCGACACUGACGCUGAACUGCGAAAGCUAGGGGAGCGAACGGG
rnacentral:rRNA from 1 species